GUUCUUGUGCCGGGUCCUACGCGACGUAAUCCCGCCAACCCCGCCAGGUCCGGAAGGAAGCAACGGUAACGGGCUAGUAUGGGCGCAGUAGGCCGCCCGGUGCA
rnacentral:SRP_RNA from 1 species